GACGAACGCUGGCGGCGCGCCUAACACAUGCAAGUCGAACGAGCGAGAGAGAGCUUGCUUUCUCGAGCGAGUGGCGAACGGGUGAGUAACGCGUGAGGAACCUGCCUCAAAGAGGGGGACAACAGUUGGAAACGACUGCUAAUACCGCAUAAGCCCACGGUGCCGCAUGGCACAGAGGGAAAAGGAGCAAUCCGCUUUGAGAUGGCCUCGCGUCCGAUUAGCUAGUUGGUGAGGUAAUGGCCCACCAAGGCGACGAUCGGUAGCCGGACUGAGAGGUUGAACGGCCACAUUGGGACUGAGACACGGCCCAGACUCCUACGGGAGGCAGCAGUGGGAAAUAUUGCACAAUGGGGGAAACCCUGAUGCAGCGACGCCGCGUGGAGGAAGAAGGUCUUCGGAUUGUAAACUCCUGUUGUUGGGGAAGAUAAUGACGGUACCCAACAAGGAAGUGGCGGCUAACUACGUG
rnacentral:rRNA from 1 species